rnacentral:rRNA from 1 species
UACGUAGGUGGCAAGCGUUGUCCGGAAUUACUGGGCGUAAAGCGUGCGCAGGCGGUUCGUUAAGUCAGCUGUGAAAGCCCCGGGCUCAACCUGGGAAUGGCGGUUGAAACUGGCGAACUUGAAUCUGGCAGAGGGGGGUGGAAUUCCACGUGUAGCAGUGAAAUGCGUAGAGAUGUGGAGGAACACCGAUGGCGAAGGCAGCCCCCUGGGCUGAGAUUGACGCUCAGGCACGAAAGCGUGGGGAGCAAACAGG